GAUGAUAACAGAAUAGGUCACCAGAGAGCUAGAAAGCAUUUCCUUUUAAAGACUGGGGUUUUUUUUCUGCCUCUGCACUUCUGGGCCCAAUCUUUGUAGGUCAAGACAUAACCACCUUAUUCCCUGAGUUUCCACAGACUGUUACAGCCUGGAUUCAUUCUUUUUUUUUUUUUUUCUUUUUGUUUCACUUGCUGUUUCAUUUCAUCAGAACAAAAGAUAUUUUAUGAUGAAAACAGAAGUAUAUGAAAACACAUAGCUAUGAAGACUAACCCCAAUGCAACCUUAUCUACUGAGUAGGGAAGUGUUAUUUCCUCCUAUUUUCUCAUUCUCAAGGGCAAAUUUAUGAUGCACUGCUUAAAGAUUUAAGUGUUCAAAGAAUGUUCAGAAGAAGAGAAGAAAGAAAACUUAAAAAUAGAAAUACUACACUUUGAGUGAAAAGAGAGAAAAAGAUAUGUUCAGCUUAAAAUACGAAGACCAGAUUCCUGGUCCCACUAAUGCCAAGAUAAAACAGCCAUUGGUUGAAGUAGGGUCGUGAUCUCUGUCAAGAUUUAAGUAUGGAUUAAUUUUUGAAGCAGGUGUGACCAAAAAGCAGGAGGGAAGAAUUAACAGUAAGAAAAAAAUUUGUCUCUCUGUCUUAAACAGCCAUCAAGCAUUUCAUUUUACAUCACUCGUGACUGCAAAAAUUAAAAAGUGGUUACAAAAUCCAUCUACCUAGUUACACACUAAUUUCCACCACAACUAAUUUCCCCUUUUUGUUAUCUUUCUAUUACACAGCAUCAUUUGUUGGUGGUGGUGGUGAAUGGGAUGACAGGAUUAAUGUGAUGGUUAUGCUCUGUGUUGAAAUGGCAUGAAUUGUACGACAAGAUGCUUUUACCAUCAACAAGCCAGCACCAAACACCUGGAAGCACAGUUCUGGUAUUAAUCUGAGGCAACUGUGAUUAUACACUAUAAUGUCUGCUCCGGUACUGCACCUGUGUAAAUUGUCUGUGUGUUUUAUACACACGUACACACAGUAUGUAUACAGUAUUUCUGAGUAUAUAGGUGCACACAGGCAGGAAAAAUAUGAAUGUGGGAGCCACAAUAAUGCUGCUCCUGGCUGAAGGUAAUGUUACAGAGUUUGUUUCCAUCUUAGUGGAUCACAGGAAAAAAAAUAAUGUAAGGAUUAUUUUAAUUUGUAAAACAUUUGUAUUCCCUCCUGUAUUGCAGUAGAAGGAAUGUGCCAACUGCCACUUUUUAAGAAAUAUAAUACGCUUCCUCCUACUUUGGGUUUGAAAUUGGAACCAAAACAAAUUUGCUGCAGAAAAACUGAUCUUUAUGGUCCUGGCAGGAGGUGAAGGCUGGGAGUGAGCUCACUCUUCUCUGCCAUUAUCCCUUCAUGGGAAUCUAGCCAUUCUAUAUCCUGCAUCCUCUGCUCCUUUCCAGAAAACCAGAAAGCUGCAAUGACAUCACAAAACGCACAAAGUGCACAACCAGCCAAGGGUGAAGAAUACACUGACCACCACAGCCAACUCAAACAGUGACAGCAUUUUGGAUCCUCGACUGGAAGAAAAAAUUGUCUGCAUAUGCUACUUGUAAAUCAGCACUUGCUUAGCCACCCUAGAGCAUGAAACGCAGCACAAUAGAUCUUUCACAGCUCACGGGAGAGGUCAUGGUACAAGAAUGCUGAACAAUGCAACACAGUCUUUUGUAGGUUUCUGCUGAAAUGAAUGUAAUAUUGCAUGGUAGUUUUCGUUUGCUGAAGUCCAAGUUAGCUGAUGUUGCAAAUCAACUGGGUGAUGCCUGCCUACAUCCAGUGAGGGUGAGAACUUUAACAGACAAUUGCACGCAAAGCCUGUCCAUUGCCUACCCUCCCAAAAGCAAACUUCUCCAUGACCUGAUCCUUCUCUCUCAUCACUACAACAGGUUUAUUUAUCACAUGGAAUGCAAGUGGGAGCAUGAGGGGAAACAGCAGAAAACACAGCAUCAAGGGAGGUUUGGAAGACAUACCAAAGUAAAAAUGGUAGCCUAGGUGCAAAGCCAAAGCCACCGACAGCAUCCCACAAGAAAGCAGAUCAAGAAAUAGGGCUUUGAUCAGAAGAACACUGGGAGGAGUUGUUCCCGCUGUGGGAAGCAGGACCUGCAUCACAGUUACACUUUCUAGAGUUACAUCUGGACAGAUGGCAAGAACACAGACAGGAGGAGAAACCUGGGGGUUUCCAAUGUCUCUCUUCACUUUCAUCUCUCCACAGGUCUGUCAGUCCACAACGCUGUCAGGAAGAAAGAGCUAUGUGCUUCAGUAGUAAAUGAUGAACAGGAAAAGAGACACAGGAAAUUCAAAUCUGUAUAAAACAAAUGCUUUUGCCAAGGCCACAAAAUGCGUUCUGAUGUAUGUCUCCGUGUUUAACUGCUUCACCUUCAAACCCUCCAGAGAAACUCCAUGGGCUGUAGCGGGGGCCAGGAAACUCCAGGGGUAAUUCUGCCCAUCCAGACAGACACUGCUCUGAGAAGUGUCUCAUUCACCCAGGUAUUUCACAUGAAACUUGAAUGAGCUCACACUUUUCAGCAAUGAGUCACGCACUCAUUUGGCAAAUACAAAGACUUCAGAGUCCCUCUCCCCCAUUCCCAGCUACUGAAAAGUCACAAUUCUUUGAAUGUGACGUCAGGAGGUGUUGCCAUGAAAACCGUUUUAAGAUCAUAAGCACUAAACUGUAACUCCUCUGCAUGGUAAAGGAUCACACAGGGGGCACUGCGGUUUGGACGAAGACAUCUUAUAAUUAGUGAUAAUAACAAAGGAAAUAUUCAUAAUUACAUCAAAGAAGUCUUCCCUGAGUAUUGUUUUUAUUUGCUUCCAGAGGGAACGCUGAAUUCUCUGAAAAAAACCAUGACUGCUUUAAGCAGAUGUAGGUAAAUAAAACAGGGCUAGAGAAUCUCAACUUCAAACUGAAGCUGGAAAAAAUACUUCAAAAUGCACACGAGGUUAUCUAAUCAAUCAGCUUAAAGGCCAGUCGUCAGCUCUCUGCCAGCAGGCAGAGCUGCUAUGCCCGCAGUGUGUGCGCAUCUUUUCAGAUGAACACGGCACACUUCGGCACAUCCUGGGUGCACGUCUCUGCAUACAGGAGGCACAGUCUGGGGAUUCGUUUCAUCCAGCAGCACGAACACAGGACUAAUUUUGUGAAGUGCAGGUAGCUAAAAAUAGCCAAGAGUGAUGUUAUGCAAGAAAACCUGCUGUACGUUUCCCCUUUCCAGAUGAGAGAAUCUGACUUAGCUUCAAAUAGAAAAAAAAAACCAAAACAGUAUAAACUAUAUUCAUUUCAUUCCCUUCUGCAGAGAAGGAAUUUGAAUCUCCUACACAUUAAAGAUGCAUGCCCACUGUCAUACCAUUUCAACGACUUAAAUAGUAAAUGAUCAAAAAUUCACAGUGCUUCUGCCCUCCUCUGGAAAAAAAAAAAUAGGUCAAAAAUGAAUGGAAACAAACUGUCUUCUGCUCCUUUUUAUGCAUUUGAGAGAGAGAGAAAAAACAAAAAAAAACAAGGGAGAUAAAUCUGCAUAAUACUGAACCGAAUCUCUUUAAUUCCAGUCAGCUUUUAUCAUUCAAUCACCGAGUCUGUAUGUGGAAAAAUUCAUGCUAAUUCCCCCUAGCAACAGCCUCAGCCUAUCAGGACAAGCCAUGCACCAUGCAGCUGCCAGCCAGCAAGAAUAACUCUAAGUAGGUCAGGCCUGCAUUUCUAAAAAUGCCACGGUCUAGUAACCCCACUGUCCCGUCUGUCUGCCCUGCCCCAUAAUAACCUCAAUUGCUCGGUGACACAAUGACAUACUGCCCUGUUAGAGCGCAAUCAAAUCACACUGCAUUAUUCUGCUGCGAGCAUCGCUGCUGGAGGAAGGAGCCGUCGAGGGGCAGCAUUAAUCAGGCGGCCAUUCAUGUCCACCAGCACUUCACUCUGGAGAUGGGGCCUGCAUUAAUGACCAGCUGUUGGAAGGAACACAAACAAAGUAACGCCUUCCACCCUGCCGGCUGCGCAGAAUACGCCGUUCUGUUCAGGCAGGUUGUGCUCAUUGACAGAGGCCGAGAUGUAAAUUAAACAGCCCCAGACAAUGCUGGCUUUUGUAAGCUCCUACUAAUUAAAGUAAGGAUAUUUAAAUUAUACUACGCACAAUUCAAAGAGCUAUUGGUUUAAUAUACAGAGUCAUCUCCUCCUACAAAUUUGUGUUCACGGUCAGGGGAAAAAAAAGAAAAAAAAAAACAACAACAACAACAACAGAACCCACAACCACUGUUUGCAUAAUACAAUCUACAUAUCCCGGUAAAUUAAAGAGCGGCACAAAGAGCAGAACUGCAGCUGACUUGUGCUGGGACCAGGGAACCACGCCAGGCUGCCAAAAACAGGCAGCAGUGCACACUGACUGGCGAAGGGCCGUCGAUAAAAGCCGUGUAAACAUCUCCAACCACAGCACGGGGAAAGGCCGGUCAGAGCAGGGUAAGCACCCCUGCAAUCUCACCGCUUAAGUGCUGCAGAGCCGCCAGCCCAGAUCGAAAAACAACAGCAGGGGUCAGAAAGCUCCAGGCGUGUCCCUGCAGAGCAGGCAGCCCCAAGCUGCUGCAUUCCCAGUGCACCAACAGGACCACGUUUGGUUGCAAGAUGUUGCGCUAAGCCUUUUUUUUUUGCACCAUCCCUUAGCCAGAGAAGCUUUAAUAGAAACCACACCUGACCGCAGUAGGUCUGCACUGGGGUGGUAUUUCAGCAUCAAAUCUGCAACGCCAGAGCUGAGUUUUGGUGUGCUGGCUUUGUGUUUAAUUUUACGCGUGCUUUUAAACACCUCGGUGCGGCUGGCCGGUCGCUCCCUCCCAUGCCUCGUGGCAUGCAGCUGCCUGUGCAAGAUGGAGACAGGAAUGACAUUUUCUAGGACAGAUGGCUUGUCUGCAUUUCUUCCGAAGGAUUCGCACUUCCACCCGGUGAACGUGUGCCCUCUGACAAACUGAGAAUUCAGUCUUCGCUUCUGCAGAGUGCAGCCAGUCUCAUACAUGUAAUCCAUCCAGCUCUGAUUUACGAAUGCAACCGAUUCGUUAAUCCAUUUUGCUUUCUUGUUCGAAGCAGGCUCAAGAACCAGGUUAUGACUGCCUUCCUUUGCUUUGUGGCACACAUCACACAGCUAUUCUUGGAGAGAUGCAGUCCCUGACGUAACCACGGGCUCCUAAUUACAAGCUGCUGACAUUUUGCAGCUUUGAAGCAAUGAGCUAAAAGCCGCUCUUCCUCCUGCUCGUUUGCUUUAAAACAGCCUGAGUUAGAAGCACAGCAGUUUCAGAAAGGUGCAGGAGUGGUAUACGCUUCUUUUCAGAGCCUCCUGUAUUGCCAAGGUUGUUUUUCUUUAAGAAAACACAAAACUACAGUAUGGGAGUAAUAAGACUCCUUUGCCCCCAGCACAAGAAUGUUACCCAGCAGCUGGCUAAAUAUAAUCCAACACACAGGGCAGCCUUUGUAGACAGGGUAACAGUGGAAGGGCCAGACAGGCAUCUUGCAGGGUAGCUCACCAUGACUAUUGGGAAAUCCCCUCGUAUGCAUUUUAGGACGACAUUAUGGUCUACGGAUUUGUAGAAAAGGGAAAAAAAAAAAAAAAAAA